rnacentral:rRNA from 1 species
AGCGAACGCUGGCGGCAGGCCUAACACAUGCAAGUCGAACGAACCUUUCGGGGUUAGUGGCGGACGGGUGAGUAACACGUGGGAACGUGCCUUUAGGUUCGGAAUAACUCAGGGAAACUUGUGCUAAUACCGAAUGUGCCCUUCGGGGGAAAGAUUAAUCGCCUUUAGAUCGGCCCGCGUCCGAUUAGCUAGUUGGUUGAGGUAAUGGCUCACCAAGGCGACGAUCAGUAGCUGGUCUGAGAGGAUGAUCAGCCACAUUGGGACUGAGACACGGCCCAAACUCCUACGGGAGGCAGCAGUGGGGAAUAUUGCGCAAUGGGCGAAAGCCUGACGCAGCCAUGCCGCGUGAAUGAUGAAGGUCUUAGGAUUGUAAAAUUCUUUCACCGGGGACGAUAAUGACGGUACCCGGAGAAGAAGCCCCGGCUAACUUCGUG